UACGUAGGGUGCGAGCGCUGUCCGGAAUUAUUGGGCGUAAAGGGCUCGUAGGCGGUCUGUCGCGUCGGGAGUGAAAACUCAGGGCUUAACCCUGAGCCUGCUUCCGAUACGGGCAGACUAGAGGUAUGCAGGGGGGAACGGAAUUCCUGGUGUAGCGGUGGAAUGCGCAGAUAUCAGGAGGAACACCGGUGGCGAAGGCGGUUCUCUGGGCAUUACCUGACGCUGAGGAGCGAAAGUGUGGGGAGCGAACAGG
rnacentral:rRNA from 1 species